AUUGAACGCUGGCGGAAUGCUUUACACAUGCAAGUCGAACGGUAGAGGGGGCAACCCCUCGAGAGUGGCGAACGGGUGAGUAAUAUAUCGGAACGUGCCCAGUCGUGGGGGAUAACGUAGCGAAAGUUACGCUAAUACCGCAUACGAUCUACGGAUGAAAGCGGGGGAUCGCAAGACCUCGCGCGAUUGGAGCGGCCGAUAUCAGAUUAGGUAGUUGGUGGGGUAAAGGCUCACCAAGCCAACGAUCUGUAGCUGGUCUGAGAGGACGACCAGCCACACUGGGACUGAGACACGGCCCAGACUCCUACGGGAGGCAGCAGUGGGGAAUUUUGGACAAUGGGCGCAAGCCUGAUCCAGCCAUUCCGCGUGCAGGACGAAGGCCUUCGGGUUGUAAACUGCUUUUGUACGGAACGAAAAAGCCUUGGCUAAUACCCAGGGUCCAUGACGGUACCGUAAGAAUAAGCACCGGCUAACUACGUGCCAGCCGCCGCAGUAA
rnacentral:rRNA from 1 species